rnacentral:lncRNA from 1 species
UCUCUCUUUCUCUUCUCUUGGGUGUUCUAUACACCCCUUUCUUGGGAUGCAUGUCCCAAAGGGUUCCAUGCUCAAAAGAGUUUGGGUGCCUCUUUCUUGCUGGUUUCUAGCAUCUAGUAGCAGCACAUAGCAAGAAAAAACUCUAGAGAGGAGGAGAAAAAGAAGAUCAAGGAGAAAGAUCAACUAUUGAUCACUGUUGCUGCCAAUCCCCUCAUCGCCUGUUCGUCGGGAACGAGCACUAGUAAAAUGAAAUCCGCACUGACCGGAGUUAUCUCUGGUGGGGACCCUUUGAUGCUUAAGUUAGAGGGAG